AGAUGUGAGGGUGAUCUCGCUGUGACAUCAGUCACUCCAUUGAUUGUCAAAAUUAAUUUGACUAAUCUGGCUAACUAUGCCAUCAUCUCCUUACUCCCUCAUCACUCUGUGUAUUUCCUUCCUGAAGCUACAUGCUUGGUUGAACAGGAUGAACUUCUCCAAUAGAAAAUAACUGUCCUUCAGUCAAGGGUAUAUAAGUAGCUAAAACAUCAAAACAAGCUCUCUUGAUGACCAUUUUUCCCAAACUGAUCAAUAGAUUCAAUGUGUUU
rfam:Callithrix jacchus chromosome X, whole genome shotgun sequence